CGAAUGAUAAAGUAAACCCGUUGAAAGAUGGGGGCACAAAGCUAUGGGUCUAAGGCUUUAAGCUAUGAUUGCCAGGCCGCCAUC
rnacentral:ncRNA from 1 species